CCUACGGGUGGCAGCAGUGAGGAAUAUUGGUCAAUGGACGAAAGUCUGAACCAGCCAUGCCGCGUGCAGGAUGACGGCUCUAUGAGUUGUAAACUGCUUUUGUACGGGGGUAAAUGCAUAUACGUGUCUCUGUCUGUAUGUACCGUACGAAUAAGGAUCGGCUAACUUCGUGCCAGCAGCCGCGGGAAUACGGAGGAUUCAAGCGUUAUCCGGAUUUAUUGGGUUUAAAGGGAGCGUAGGCGGUUUGUUAAGUUAGAUGUGAAAUCCCGCGGCUCAACCGUGGAAUUGCAGUGGAUACUGGCAGGCUAGAGAGCAGUAGAGGUAGGCGGAAUGCAUGGUGUAGCGGUGAAAUGCUUAGAGAUCA
rnacentral:rRNA from 1 species